AUUGAACGCUGGCGGCAGGCCUAACACAUGCCAGUCGAGCGGAUGAAGGGAGCUUGCUCCUGGAUUCAGCGGCGGACGGGUGAGUAAUGCCUAGGAAUCUGCCUGGUAGUGGGGGAUAACGUCCGGAAACGGGCGCUAACACCGCAUACGUCCUGAGGGAGAAAGUGGGGGAUCUUCGGACCUCACGCUAUCAGAUGAGCCUAGGUCGGAUUAGCUAGUUGGUGGGGUAAAGGCCUACCAAGGCGACGAUCCGUAACUGGUCUGAGAGGAUGAUCAGUCACACUGGAACUGAGACACGGUCCAGACUCCUACGGGAGGCAGCAGUGGGGAAUAUUGGACAAUGGGCGAAAGCCUGAUCCAGCCAUGCCGCGUGUGUGAAGAAGGUCUUCGGAUUGUAAAGCACUUUAAGUUGGGAGGAAGGGCAGUAAGUUAAUACCUUGCUGUUUUGACGUUACCAACAGAAUAAGCACCGGCUAACUUCGUG
rnacentral:rRNA from 1 species